CAGGUGCCUAUAAUCCCACCUACUUGGGAGGCUGAGGCAGAAGAAUUGCUUGAACCCGGUAGGCGGGGGUUGCAGUGAGCCGAGAUCGCGCCACUGCACUCCAGCCUGGGCGACAGAGUGAGACUCCGUGUCAAAAAAAAAAGAAAAGAAAAGAAAUCUUAUUCAGCCACUAAAAGGAAAGGCCAGGCACAUACUACCAGGUGAAUGAACCUCGACUCCAUGAUCCUAAGUGGCAGAAGCCAGCCGCGCAAGCCCACAGAGCACCUGAUUCCAUUUAUACGCAAUGUCCAGAAUAGGUGAAGUCACAGCUCUGGUGAUUCAUCUUGCCCCCCGGCCAACCAAGUGGUUGAGGCCCCCAGGGCCUGCCCACAGGAGCUUCCAGAACGUGCCUGGGGUCAGAAAGAGAUGCUGAUCAUUAGGAACAUCCUUAUGGGACCAGAACAUGGGGCAGGUCUGGUCUGGGUGGUGACUGCAGGCCCCAAGAGAGGUCCCUCCAGGGAGGCAGUGAGGACUUAAGCAUCCAGAGCCGGUCCUCUGGCAUCAUCCAGUGGCCAUUUGUGUGAAUUGCAGCCCCACACCACUGCCUGAUCAUUCUCCAAGGAGCCAAAACUACCAGGAGUAGCAGAAAACCAGGGUGAGAAUACAAGAUUUCUGCCCACAGCCUGUUUGCAUCUCCUCAGCCCUGCUUCUUUCUAAAUUUUAAGGAGACUGAUUAUUGCUGGGUUCCUUUAGGCCCCGACCUGUGAGUACAAGCCAGCCUUGCCAAAUCUAAUCAAGGACUUUUUUUUUUUUUUUGUAAUUUUAUCCAAAUUGCCAACUGGGCAGAGACGAUUCCUGAACAGGCAAUUUGGCUACUAUUUGUACAUAUUUCUACCCUUAAGAGUCAUCUUGUUACAGCCCUGGCAUAAACUGGCUUAGGGCCUGUAAGAGCCCAGAGGAAAAGAGUCUUUUUUGGACUGUAGCGCGUGAAGACCCAGCCUCUCCCUCUCCAAAGCCGCAGGGCACCCUCAGCCUAGCCCCCCAGGCCUGGGCAGCUCUGGAUAAAGGUAACACUGCAAAAGCUGCUGCUGACACAGCCCACACUGCCUCCCUGCUGCAGGGAAGUCAGAGCCAGGGCUUGUGCAGAAAGCGCCGGUAAAGACAGGUGAGCGGCAGGUGCAAAGCCGCAGGAGAGAGGCAUGCGAAGAGCCCCAGGAGCCCCGAGCGCCGGGGAGAUGGGGAGGGCCAGGUCCUGAAGGGUCUUCUUCCAGUGCUAAGCUAAGGAGAUCCCACUUCAUCCCCAACGUGACAGGGAGCUGUGGGUGGGCUAGAGGUGCAGCCCGAGGCCCAGCUGAAACCUGCACAAAGCCCUGGCUUGGAAGCAGAGCGAC
rnacentral:lncRNA from 10 species